AGAAAGGACUAUUUAGUUUUCACAUGCAUCCAGUAAGUAUGCAACCAUUUUACAAGGACUGAUGAUACCUUCCUGAGCAAGAAAGGAAACUGGAAAACCCAUCCCCAUGGGACCACACCUGGCUAGUGGACUGGCUGUAACUGGAUCUGAAGAGUAACACAGAAGAAGGUCACAUAGCUUCUUGCAGUAAUUGAGGGAAUUCCAUCCUGAUGUGUCUUUCUUGUCCCAAUGUGUGUACCGCAAAAGAGUGGACACUCAUGUAUACCCAGCUGUCUACCAUUAAAGCCUGGGAUGAGGACAUUGUUGGAUGGGGUCUCAGGCUACACUGUAAGUCCAGAAAAGUUAUGAAUAACAUUGAUGGAGUAAGAUUGGAGGAGCCAACAAAGAAUAACCCACUCCUUACAAUCUUUUUCAGGGGGGACUUUCUUCAGACCAGUUCAAAAAGAGCUCUGCCUAGCUUUCUCAACAAAAAUCUGUACAGAAGAUUAUUUAAAGUCUUCACCAAUGUCUCCAAUGAAUAG
rnacentral:lncRNA from 12 species